rnacentral:tRNA from 1 species
ACCUGGCUGGCUCAGUCAGUAGAGCAUGUAACUCUUGAUCUCCUGGUAAUGAGUUCAAGCCCCAUGCUGGGUA